rnacentral:rRNA from 1 species
GCUGGGUAGCUAUGUUCGGAAAGGAUAAGCGCUGAAAGCAUCUAAGCGCCAAGCCUAUCCCAAGAUGAGAUCUCCCUGAAGAGUCGUGGUAGACCACCACGUUGAUAGGUCACUGGUGUAAGUGCAGCAAUGUAUUCAGCUAAGUGAUACUAAUAACUCGUUCGGCUUGGUCAU